rfam:Lepisosteus oculatus linkage group LG2, whole genome shotgun sequence.
GCCAGCAGCUAUGUCACCCUGUCACUCCCAGCUGGCAGCCCACUGGAGCUCAGCAGGUGUGAGCCUGGUCAGUACCUGGAUGAGAGACUCCUGGGAAAAACUAAGGUUGCUGCUGGAA